rnacentral:rRNA from 1 species
AUUGAACGCUAGCGGCAGGCUUAACACAUGCAAGUCGAACGAGUGGCGGACGGGUGAGUAAUGCAUGGGAAUCUAGCUAAUGGAGGGGGAUAACUACGGGAAACAGUAGCUAAUACCGCGUACUAUAGGAUGGGCCCAUGUGGGAUUGUGUCGUUGGUGAGGUAAAGGCUCACCAGGCCGACGAUCUCUAGCUGGUCUGAGAGGAGGACAAUCCAAACUGGGACUGAGACACGGCCCAGACUCCUACGGGAGGCAGAAGUGGGGAAGAUGGCGCAAUGGGGGAAACCUGACGCAGCCAUGGCGCGUGAAUGAAGAAGGCCUGAGGGUUGUAAAGUUCUUUCGGUAGCGAGGCGUUAUCUACAGAAGAAGCACCGGCUAACGCCGUGCCAGCAGCCGCGGUAAGAC